ACGCAGAAAGUGACCAGCUGGCAACCCUGCCGCCAACCGUUUCGGAGGCGCCGCGUUAUGCUUUCAAAGCGCCGCGGCAAUGCGAAUGACAGCCGUCACGCGAAUGGGUCUACCUGUCAAAUGAUCAUUUCCGGUUAUUCGCUCCUCACAGUUAUCACACGUUUCAGAGAGAAGAUAGAAGUUUAAGACGGCAUUUUGUGCAGUGAUUAUAAAAAAACUAGUUAAUAGAAUUACUACAGUGAAUAUUAGUUCAGUGAAUUUCCGUACAAAGCCUGUGAUUCCAAGAGAGUCAGUAUCCGCGUCGAUGAAAUCCGUGUCCGUAGUCCGCUGAUCCUGUUAUCGCAAGAUCCUGUAAAGAGAAAAGUCGAAGAUCCGUUUGAAGAUCGAUUGAUCGAUUCGAAGAUCGAUUGAGGUUAGAUUGCCAUAAGGGCGUGUGAGCAACAAAAGCUUACCGAAUUUUUGAAGCACCUGAAUACACUUUUCGCUAUCAAAACCGAUUUGGCUUUAAUUCACGCCCCGAAACCCGACA